rnacentral:rRNA from 1 species
CACGUAGGCACCAAGCGUUGUCCGGAUUUAUUGGGCGUAAAGAGCUCGUAGGCGGUUCAGUAAGUCGGGUGUGAAAACUUUGGGCUUAACCCAAAGCGUGCAUCUGAUACUGCUGUGACUUGAGUUCGGUAGGGGAGUGGGGAAUUCCUAGUGUAGCGGUGAAAUGCGCAGAUAUCAGGAGGAACACCGGUGGCGAAGGCGGGUCUCUGGGCCGAUACUGACGCUGAGGAGCGAAAGCGUGGGGAGCGAACAGG